AGACCCGAAACCCGGUGAUCUAGCCAUGGGCAGGUUGAAGGUUGGGUAACACUAACUGGAGGACCGAACCGACUAAUGUUGAAAAAUUAGCGGAUGACCUGUGGCUGGGGGUGAAAGGCCAAUCAAACCGGGAGAUAGCUGGUUCUCCCCGAAAGCUAUUUAGGUAGCGCCUCGUGAAUUCAUCUCCGGGGGUAGAGCACUGUUUCGGCUAGGGGGCCAUCCCGGCUUACCAACCCGAUGCAAACUGCGAAUACCGGAGAAUGUUAUCACGGGAGACACACGGCGGGUGCUAACGUCCGUCGUGAAGAGGGAAACAACCCAGACCGCCAGCUAAGGUCCCAAAGUCAUGGUUAAGUGGGAAACGAUGUGGGAAGGCCCAGACAGCCAGGAUGUUGGCUUAGAAGCAGCCAUCAUUUAAAGAAAGCGUAAUAGCUCACUGGUCGAGUCGGCCUGCGCGGAAGAUGUAACGGGGCUAAACCAUGCACCGAAGCUGCGGCAGCGACACUCAGGUGUCGUUGGGUAGGGGAGCGUUCUGUAAGCCUGCGAAGGUGGCCUGUGAGGGUUGCUGGAGGUAUCAGAAGUGCGAAUGCUGACAUAAGUAACGAUAAAGCGGGUGAAAAGCCCGCUCGCCGGAAGACCAAGGGUUCCUGUCCAACGUUAAUCGGGGCAGGGUGAGUCGACCCCUAAGGCGAGGCCGAAAGGCGUAGUCGAUGGGAAACGGGUUAAUAUUCCCGUACUUGGUGUUACUGCGAAGGGGGGACGGAGAAGGCUAUGUUGGCCGGGCGACGGUUGUCCCGGUUUAAGCGUGUAGGUGUGUGUUCCAGGUAAAUCCGGUUCACUUUAACACUGAGGCGUGAUGACGAGGCACUACGGUGCUGAAGCAACAAAUGCCCUGCUUCCAGGAAAAGCCUCUAAGCAUCAGGUAACAUCAAAUCGUACCCCAAACCGACACAGGUGGUCAGGUAGAGAAUACCAAGGCGCUUGAGAGAACUCGGGUGAAGGAACUAGGCAAAAUGGUGCCGUAACU
rnacentral:rRNA from 1 species